AAAGCUGACAUUCAUCUCCCUUGACAGAUGAUUCUCAUUCAAAGGUUGCUCAAGGAAUGGGGCAGAAAGAAAGCCACUCCAAGACUCAAACUAGUUAGACUGAGUGAAACCUGAAAGCUGAGGGUUUAGAAGAUAUAUCCUUCCCCCCAAACAGGCUGUCUUCCUCACUCAGCUUCGCCUUGGUGCUGAAUAAAUUUUGCUGCUUAGAAUUCAAUCCACACCUAUUUCUCUGAGCCUUGGUAGUCAGGAGAUUUUUACCCAAAGAUUUCUAAAUUUUCUAAUCUUCUCGCUGAGUGUUAUGGGAUGAAUUUUGUUUCCCGGAUAUUCCUAUGUUGAAGGCCCAAUCCCAGCAGCUCAGAAUGUGACUGCAUGCAGAGAUAGAGCCUUUAAAGAGGGGAUUAAGUUAAAAUGAGGAUAUUAGGGUGGGUCCUGAGCCAAUCUGACUGGUGUCCGUAUAACAAGAGAAAAUUUGGACACAUAAGGAAACCCUGGGUGUGCAUACACAGGGGAAAGACCAUGUGAGGACACAAUGAGAAGGUGGCCAUUUGCAAGCCAGGAAGAGACGACUCAAAAGAAACCAAACCUGCAAACAAUUUGAUCUUGGACUUCCAGCCCCAAGAGCUGUGAGAAACUAAAUGUGUAUUAUUUAAUCCCCCUGUUCUGUGGUAUUUUAUAAUACAGCCCAGCAAAUGAAUACACCAAGGUAAGCCAACUUGUAUUGGAAGUAAAGAUACCUUCAGGGUGGUAAAAGUAUGGGACUUUGAAACAGGAAGGCUGUUUCUGGAUUUACUGGGGCUCAUGGCAAUGCUGGAAUCACAUUCUGACCUUUGACUCCAGUGGAAGAAGGCUAGUCACUGGGGGCAGAGACGGCUGUCUGAAGAUAUGGAGCUACAACAACGGACAUUGUCUGCACACACUGAAACAUGGCAAGUCGCUUCCUACCAAGGCUCCCCAUAACAUAAUGAUGCAAGAUUGGGCAUUUGUUGUCAAGGUAGAAGAAACAAAUGAGAUGGGAUCUAGGGUGCACGUGACAAUCCUACAUUCUUUUUCUCUGGCCCUUCAUUUUACCAAUGACUUUAAACUUCUACUGAGGAGAGAUGUACUUUACAUGAAUGUAUGUGCUCCCAGCUAAGCCUUGUGCACCUGCUCCUUCAUCACCCGGUAUGUUUAUCUGCGUUCUUAAAAGAGCUUAGCUUUUCUAAACAUUUUAAACAUCACAUAAGUCAAAAUAUGGGUGAGCAAACUAAAAGCUAGUCUGUUUUGUGUGUUAGUGACUUUUUUUCCAAGGCCACUUUUCCACUUGUUCAUGUGCUGUACCUGAUUUUGAUCGAAUUUCCACAAUUCUGGCCUGUUGACUUUCCAUGAGGAAGAUAAGAGGCAAAAACUUUUCAACUACCAGAGAAUAUAAAAGAAUCCAAAGUAAAAAAAGACAAAAAUCACUCAAAGUAAUGAGUUUGUGAUUCCAAGUUCUGCUUUUGACCUGCCUGUGUUCACUUGUCUCCUCACUCAGGAGGAGCCGGGCACCGUGUAGGGUCCUGUCAGGAGAAGGCGAGCUUCUUCCCAAAGCUGAGCAAGGGCAGAACCAGCAUU